rnacentral:rRNA from 1 species
UACGGGGGGGGCAAGCGUUGUUCGGAAUUACUGGGCGUAAAGGGCUCGUAGGCGGCCAACUAAGUCAGACGUGAAAUCCCUCGGCUUAACCGGGGAACUGCGUCUGAUACUGGAUGGCUUGAGGUUGGGAGAGGGAUGCGGAAUUCCAGGUGUAGCGGUGAAAUGCGUAGAUAUCUGGAGGAACACCGGUGGCGAAGGCGGCAUCCUGGACCAAUUCUGACGCUGAGGCGCGAAAGCGUGGGGAGCGAACAGG